GAGGGUAUGGCCCCUCGCCAUCGGCUUGCAGGAGCGGGUGGCAAACCACCAUGAGCGGCUUGGGUCAAAAGCCCUGGUCGUGAGCGUCAUGGAAAAGGCGUCGUGAAGGCGUCAGGU
rfam:Cupriavidus sp. SK-3 Scaffold153, whole genome shotgun sequence.